CAAGUCGAACGGCAGCACGGGAGCUUGCUCCUGGUGGCGAGUGGCGAACGGGUGAGUAAUAUAUCGGAACGUACCCUAGAGUGGGGGAUAACGCAGCGAAAGUUGCGCUAAUACCGCAUACGAUCUACGGAUGAAAGUGGGGGAUCGCAAGACCUCAUGCUCAUGGAGCGGCCGAUAUCUGAUUAGCUAGUUGGUGGGGUAAAGGCCUACCAAGGCUUCGAUCAGUAGCUGGUCUGAGAGGACGACCAGCCACACUGGAACUGAGACACGGUCCAGACUCCUACGGGAGGCAGCAGUGGGGAAUUUUGGACAAUGGGCGAAAGCCUGAUCCAGCAAUGCCGCGUGAGUGAAGAAGGCCUUCGGGUUGUAAAGCUCUUUUGUCAGGGAAGAAACGGUGGACUCUAAUACAGAUCACUAAUGACGGUACCUGAAGAAUAAGCACCGGCUAACUACGUGCCAGCAGCCGCGGUGAUACGUAGGGUGCAAGCGUUAAUCGGAAUUACUGGGCGUAAAGCGUGCGCAGGCGGUUUGGUAAGACAGAUGUGAAAUCCCCGGGCUCAACCUGGGAAUUGCAUUUGUGACUGCCCGGCUAGAGUGUGUCAGAGGGGGGUAGAAUUCCACGUGUAGCAGUGAAAUGCGUAGAGAUGUGGAGGAAUACCGAUGGCGAAGGCAGCCCCCUGGGAUAACACUGACGCUCAUGCACGAAAGCGUGGGGAGCAAACAGGAUUAGAUACCCUGGUAGUCCACGCCCUAAACGAUGUCUACUAGUUGUUGGGUCUUAAUUGACUUAGUAACGCAGCUAACGCGUGAAGUAGACCGCCUGGGGAGUACGGUCGCAAGAUUAAAACUCAAAGGAAUUGACGG
rnacentral:rRNA from 1 species